ACCUUUCAAAAAGUUUCCUGGAUUAUCACAUUCCAUUAGUAUGUGUUCUUCGGUUUCCAUGGUUUCACAGCCCCAUCUGCAUCCCCCGUCUUCUGCCAUGUUUCUUUUAUACAAGCUGUAUUGUAAAUUGUUCAUCCCGGUUCGCAAUCUGUGAAUUGUGCAUGAUGCUUCUCUGUUCUUGUGAAAGCGAUGGUAGUCUAUGUGCAAGGAUUCAAUGUUUGCUGCAAUGAAGGGUUUCAAUGCGCGGCAAGCUUUGGAUUCUUUCUACUCCUGGAUCCGUCAAAGCUUGUUUAGCUAGCUGGUCCACAAAUUCAUUUCCCUUGAUUCCACAGUGACUGGGAAUCCAUAUUAUCUUGGUUUUGCAGCCCGAGUUCUUCAGGCACUUUGUUAGAUUCCAGAUCUCUAGACUUGUUGAGUCCAUGUCCCUAUAAGGGAGAUUGCUUAGGUACUGGACACAUGAUUUCGAGUCAGUGCAUACCACUACCAUGCUUGGAUAAUCUUCUCUUUGGGAUGAAAACUGCACAUGUAUAGGUUUCGUCUUUGGCGGAUCCAUCUGUGUAGGCUAUCACUGUUUGUGGAGGAAGCGUAUUUAGCUCUUCCUGUAGCAGCAACCGUGCUUGCAACAAGUUCUCGGUUGCGCCCUUCUUUGUGAUGUCCAGUUCUGUGCAUUCAUAAACCCUUUCGUCCCACGCUUUUAUCACCGCUGGUGUUGAGUAAGACUUCCAAGUUGUCGGCGCCUGCACCUCCUUUAAUAGCAGAUCCCGUAAAGGAUGCUCUUGGUUGCUAAUUAUUUGGAGAGCAAUUCUUGUGGUCUGGUAGCGUCGUACUUUUUUGAGCGCCCAGGAUUUUCCUUAUGGCUUCAUGCAGUACCGUGUUAACUCGGGAUAGGUUGAUUUGGCCGCUCCCCCGUACACUGCCGCCCCAUAAUCCGCCACCGAUUGUAUGCAUGCUGUGUAGAGGUGUCUCAGCGUCCUCAGCUCCGGUGCCAUCCUCCGUGUUGCAAUUCCACUAAUAGCGGCUCCUGCUCUCCUGAUCCUUUGUUCUACCUUCGCGAUGUGUUUCCGCCAGUUCAGGAGGAGAUUUGCAUGCUGGCUCAAACAUCGAAUUCAGCAAAAUUUCCGAUAUAGCCUCUGGAUCGAAUGUCAGUUCAGACUGUGCAUUUUUAAUCGUUUUUGGAACCGUUUGGCCUUUCCUUGCUGUACCAAGCAUGGUUUUCAUUAACGACCACAUUUUCUGGGGGUCAUUUCUUGGUCCCAGUUCUUCGAGAA
rnacentral:lncRNA from 1 species